AAAAAAAAAGAAUAAUAACUACAACGGACUACAGUGAACUAAAGUACAUCAAAUAUGUUUAAACCCGUGACUUUAUAAUGAUUUUUUUAAUUGGUCACUUUUGGAGUGUUCUAGGUAGCAAACUCAAUAAUUUGAAGACUGCUAAUAAAGAGAAAUCAACAUUUAUCCUGCCUUUCCUGUAGGAACCAUACCUGACCAUGUGGUUGAUGAGGGAAUUUCUCUUACAGAAGUAAUCCAGUAGUAAAUGAGCAGAAUGAUAGAAUUUCAAUAUCACCAUUUUGCAACCCCUAAUGAAAUCAUGGAUUAGUCAAUAAUGAUUAAGGACUGAUAACAUCACCAAAAGAGAGACAAGCAGACAUUAUGCACAUUCUGUUGGAAGUUCACAGCACUCUCUGAGAAGGAGUCCUGCAAAUAUAAACACUGAACCAGGAAAUUACCAAUGAAAUUACCAAUUUACAGGGAAUUCAUUGGACAGAGGAGCGUGUUACAUAGUACCUCAAGCAUAUAAUCAACCAAAACCAGACUGUGGGAAACUCUACAGGAGACCACGCCCUACACACAUGCGCACACACAGUUUCCUCAACAAAUACAUUUCAAGGGGAAAAAAAAAGUGGAAUUGGAAAGAGAACCUACAUGUUAAAAGAAACAUAAGAAAAAAUAUCGACCAAUAUAAUGUAUGGACUUUAUUUUAAUCCUGAUUCAGAAAAAGUAAACUCAUAAAAAGGAUAUGAGACAUUUGAGGGAAUCUGAAAAAAAAAUCUGAGGCUCCUAGAUUCCAGGCUAUUUUCCCACUGGCAUGAGCCUGGGCAUUGCUGCUAUUAUAAGUAAAAACCACUUCAGAGCCCAGAACCACGGGGUUGGGACAACUCUUCCAAUUGGCUCUUUAGGUGUCAGAAGAAGAGUCUAACAAACAAGGCCACCUCUCCCAUUCUCUCCCAGCCCCGAAGACUCCCCUGCUCCCAGGCCAACCCACCGCAGAGGGUAGAACAUUCAACUACUCAGAAUGAGGCUCCAGGCAGGCGAUUUUCUUGAGGUGCUUCUCAUUCAGGCUCUUGCCCAUCUGGAGCACAGCUUUUGGCAUCAUUCAGGAUGUGCCAAAUGAACGAGUUCUGCUUGUGUGCAGUGAGUUGAUGUCCCUGAUCCCGACUGGGCCUGCGAUUUGGAAAGGGAGGUGGUUGUGAUGCUCCAUCAAAUUCCACCACCAGCCACACCACGGACGGGAGUAACUGGAAACUAUGCAGUACGGGAUUCCAUUUCGAAAAAGGUUUUUGGACUCUGCUGUGAAGACUGGUUUGCUGGUAUGCCAGAGGCAAGAUGCUAAGAAGCCCAGCUUUGCUCACCAACUUCUGCAUCACAUCUGGUGAGGGGCGUUGGAGUCUCUCCCCAAGGUGGGGUUUGGGAGGCUUCUAAUUUCCAAAACAAAACCAGUCUUGAUCUGGCCUUACCUGGGGGCAGUUGUUGAAGUUCUGAAAAUACCCAGUACAGAGCACUUGGGCGCAGUUCUCACGGAUGCUGGCAGCCAAUACCAUCCGAGAGGCUGCUCUUGAAAAGGCCCAGCUCUCCACAUGUCCUGGAGAAACUGGAUCCCCUCUUUUUUCUCUGAGUCCCCAGAGGUCCAAGUGCCAUCCAAGAGUAACCCAGACACCACGCAAGAGAGGCCCAAUCUAGACCAAGGGAGAGGAACCGAGGCCCCCAGCCAAUAGCCAGCAUCCACUGCCAGACGUGUGAAUGAAGGAUCCUGCAGACGGAUGGUUCCAGUCUCCAGCUUUCGAGUCUUCCAGCUUCGACCCCAGACAUCAUGGAGCAGAGGCAAGCCAUCUCCACCCCCACUGCACUCCAUCCAAACUCCUGAUCCACAGAACCCAUAAAGGUAACAAAGAGUGUCAUGCCUGCUAAGUCUUGGGGUAAUCUUUUAGGCAACAUUAGAUAACCAGAACAUAGAGUGACCUUAGGAGGAGCAAGAAUGAGCAGCAUAGAAACUGAAGGAGAAAGUACCCUAGACGAGUUGAGUUAGUCAGAUGGAAUGGCAUUAAAUGUGGAAAGCGUUACUAGCCUCGACCACAUGGUUUCUAACCUUGUCCUGCUGUGAAAUUGUCCCCUCAAAGACCACCAACAACCUCCCAACUGACUAAAGUCAAAAACACCUCACCUUUUUCUCCAUACUCAUUCUCCUUCAACUUCUUUCUUGACUUCCAGUCUUAAUAUAAGGUCAACUACCACACGGACAUGCUUCUCUACCGGCCUCUGCUUUGCUUUACUCAUUGGUUCCUCUUCCCCCUCCCACCUUCCCACUAGGCUGUAACCAACUUACUUUCCAAAGGCUUGCUCCCCUCUCUCUAUCCAUGGCCCUCAAAGA